rnacentral:rRNA from 1 species
GACGAACGCUGGCGGCGUGCUUAACACAUGCAAGUCGAACGGAAAGGCCCUGCUUUUGUGGGGUGCUCGAGUGGCGAACGGGUGAGUAACACGUGAGUAACCUGCCCUUGACUUUGGGAUAACUUCAGGAAACUGGGGCUAAUACCGGAUAGGAGCUCCUGCUGCAUGGUGGGGGGUGGAAAGGUUCGGGGGGUGGGGAUGGAAUCGCGGCUUAUCAGGUUGGUGGGGGGGUAGUGGCUUACCAAGGCUUUGACGGGUAGCCGGCCUGAGAGGGUGACCGGCCACAUUGGGACUGAGAUACGGCCCAGACUCCUACGGGAGGCAGCAGUGGGGAAUAUUGCACAAUGGGCGGAAGCCUGAUGCAGCAACGCCGCGUGCGGGAUGACGGCCUUCGGGUUGUAAACCGCUUUCGCCUGUGACGAAGCGUGAGUGACGGUAAUGGGUAAAGAAGCACCGGCUAACUACGUG